GGCUGGUUAAAGUGCAGUUUUUGCAACUAAUUGAUCACAAUCAGUUACAGAUUUCUUUUAUCCUUCUCCACUCCCACUGCCUCACUUGAUUAUAAA
rnacentral:Y_RNA from 1 species